rnacentral:tRNA from 1 species
CGGGGUGUAGCGCAGCCCGGUUAGCGCACCUGCUUUGGGAGCAGGAUGUCGGAGGUUCAAAUCCUCUCACCCCGA